rnacentral:rRNA from 1 species
UGGGGAAUAUUGCACAAUGGGCGCAAGCCUGAUGCAGCCAUGCCGCGUGUAUGAAGAAGGCCUUCGGGUUGUAAAGUACUUUCAGCGGGGAGGAAGGGAGUAAAGUUAAUACCUUUGCUCAUUGACGUUACCCGCAGAAGAAGCACCGGCUAACUCCGUGCCAGCAGCCGCGGUAAUACGGAGGGUGCAAGCGUUAAUCGGAAUUACUGGGCGUAAAGCGCACGCAGUCGGUUUGUUAAGUCAGAUGUGAAAUCCCCGGGCUCAACCUGGGAACUGCAUCUGAUACUGGCAAGCUUGAGUCUCGUAGAGGGGGGUAGAAUUCCAGGUGUAGCGGUGAAAUGCGUAGAGAUCUGGGGGAAUACCGGUGGCGAAGGCGGCCCCCUGGACGAAGACUGACGCUCAGGUGCGAAAGCGUGGGGAGCAAACAGG